UACGAAGGGGGCUAGCGUUGUUCGGAAUUACUGGGCGUAAAGGGCGCGUAGGCGGCGUGUCAAGUCAGACGUGAAAGCCCCGGGCUCAACCUGGGAACCGCGCUUGAGACUGGCAUGCUCGAGUUCGGGAGAGGAUGGUGGAAUUCCCAGUGUAGAGGUGAAAAUUCGUAGAUAUUGGGAAGAACACCGAUGGCGAAGGCAGCCAUCUGGACCGACACUGACGCCGAGGCGCGAAAGCGUGGGGAGCGAACAGG
rnacentral:rRNA from 1 species